GUCAUCAAUGUUCUGAAAAUGGCAGUAAUUUUUAUUCAACCUGUAUAAGCCACUUUCACCAUGCACCUGGAAGCAACAUCCACAUCUUUUUCAGUUUUCCUCUGUCCACUAUGAAGGACUCUGACCACAUUCUGACUCUGAUGAUCCUGCCCAGAAUUGACCUGAACCCCAAUAAUUCACCUUUCUCUCAGCAAUCUAGAUGCUGGGGACACAAGGUCCACCUUCUAGGAAUAUAGCCAUGACACCAGAAAUCACAAAGGUGAUGAGAGUGACUGGGGAAGAAGUGCAAGAUGCUUCACUUGUAAAUGAAGACACAGCCUCCCAGGAUUCAGAUACCACUUGUCCGAAGAAGCUGAAGAUCUACAGAUAGGUGGAGUUUACCAAUGACGAGGAGCGGGAUGGAGAAAGGAGAUAGGGAGAGUCAUCCAAGGUACAUGAGCAGCAUGUUCAAAGCCAAGUGGUUUAAUUUCUGGAGAUGGUGAACACGAGAGGCUCUGCUGGGAGACAACAAAAAUAAUGAAGAGUUGAACCAGAGUCCGGUGAAUAUCAGCACUGGGACCAGUUAGCAGAGGAAAAGGGAAAAGAAUGAAGAGCCAUAUGAUUACCAACUUUUCCUUUUUCAUGUAAAUGAAGUGUAUAUGGGUCUGGAACAACCUGAAUUUCCAUGAAGUCCUGGCUAACCUCAUUACGUCCUAUGAAUAUUUUUGACUAAUUCCACUUUACAUUAAUCUGUAUUGUGAAUGUGGAUAUUGAACUAUAUUUAUUUGUAAUCCCAUUAUCCAAAAUCCAGUUCAGAGACUAUUAGUUACCAAUGUUCACUGUGAAGAAAAAAGAAAAAAAAGCUCAGAGGAUAAACAUGUGAUAUGGUUUGGCUGUGUCCCCACUCAAAUAUCAUCUUGAAUUGUAGUUCCCAUAAUUCCCAUGUGUUGUGGGAGGGACCUGGAGGGAGAUAAUUGAAUCAUGGGGGUGGUUUCCCCCAUACUAUUCUCAUGGUAGUGAAUAAGUCUCACAAGAUCUGACGGUUUUAUGAGGGGAAACCCCUUUCACUUGGCUCUCAUUCUCUCCUCUGGUCUGUCGUCAUGUGAGACGUGCCUUUCACCUUCUCCACCAUGAUUGUGAGGCCUCCUCAGCCACAUGGAACUGUUAGCCCAUUAAACUUCUUUCACUUAUAAA